GCAGUGGUGGUUCAGGGUAGAAUUCUUACCUUCCAUGAGGAGACCCGGGUUCAAUUCCUGGCCAAUUCA
rnacentral:tRNA from 1 species